GGGUUGUGAGGUUAAGCGACUAAGCGUACACGGUGGAUGCCCUGGCAGUCAGAGGCGAUGAAGGGCGUGCUAAUCUGCGAUAAGCGCCGGUAAGGUGAUAUGAACCGUUAUAACCGGCGAUACCCGAAUGGGGAAACCCAGUGUGAUUCGUCACACUAUCAUUAACUGAAUCCAUAGGUUAAUGAGGCGAACCGGGGGAACUGAAACAUCUAAGUACCCCGAGGAAAAGAAAUCAACCGAGAUUCCCCCAGUAGCGGCGAGCGAACGGGGAGGAGCCCAGAGCCUGAAUCAGCAUGUGUGUUAGUGGAAGCGUCUGGAAAGGCGCGCGAUACAGGGUGACAGCCCCGUACACAAAAGCGCAUGUGCUGUGAGCUCGAUGAGUAGGGCGGGACACGUGGUAUCCUGUCUGAAUAUGGGGGGACCAUCCUCCAAGGCUAAAUACUCCUGACUGACCGAUAGUGAACCAGUACCGUGAGGGAAAGGCGAAAAGAACCCCGGCGAGGGGAGUGAAAAAGAACCUGAAACCGUGUACGUACAAGCAGUGGGAGCACCCUUUGGGGUGUGACUGCGUACCUUUUGUAUAAUGGGUCAGCGACUUAUAUUCUGUAGCA
rnacentral:rRNA from 1 species